UGACAGCCUCAAAGGAUGUUGUGA
rnacentral:piRNA from 2 species